CGCGUAGGCGGCUACUUAUGUCGGAUGUGAAAGCCCUUGGCUCAACUGAGGAAGCGCACCCGAAACUGAGUAGCUGGAGUACGAAAGAGGGUCGCGGAAUUCCCGGUGUAGAGGUGAAAUUCGUAGAUAUCGGGAGGAACACCGGUGGCGAAGGCGGCGACCUGGGUCGAUACUGACGCUGAGGCGCGAAAGCGUGGGGAGCAAACA
rnacentral:rRNA from 1 species